rnacentral:rRNA from 1 species
CCCGCAACGAGCGCAACCCUUGCCUUUAGUUGCCAGCAGUUCGGCUGGGCACUCUAAAGGGACUGCCGGUGUUAAACCGGAGGAAGGUGGGGAUGACGUCAAGUCCUCAUGGCCUUUAUGACCAGGGCUACACACGUACUACAAUGGCCGAUACAAAGGGCAGCGACACUGCGAGGUGAAGCCAAUCCCGUAAAAUCGGUCUCAGUCCGGAUUGGAGUCUGCAACUCGACUCCAUGAAGUUGGAAUCGCUAGUAAUCGUGGAUCCAGCAUGCCACGGUGAAUACGUUCCCGGGCCUU